UUGAGCAACACUGAGAAAUGACUUCGCUUACCGAGGGCUCGUGGGGACCAGAGUUCCAUCAGCGCCAAGAUUCCCCUGGACAUUUAUGCCGUAGGGAAUCUGCUGAAGUACCCUAGAAGGAGAUUUAUGCUUCGGAAGAUUGCCUUCUGUACGGCUGGCCAUCUCAGAACCUCAGGGAGGGAGAGAAGGCCUGAAAAUCCAAGUCGGUUUCACAAUUCGUUUUCACGUAGAACAAGGGAAAGGGCGAAAAUAUGAAUCUCUUUGAAGACAGUGUGAGAGUUUUGUGUUUUCAAAAGGGAAUGCUGAUUUGAGAGGCAUUGCUCUAAAACAUAAACUUUCCAGCACAGACUGAGCGUUUGGAAUGGUGGACACUCAGAGAGUUAGGCGCACAGGCUUUGGAGCCAGGCUGUCUGGGUUCAAAUCCUGGCUGUGUGUGUGACACGUUGGCAAAUUGCCUUACAUUUUCGCAGUCUUCAUUUCCUUCCUCCCUUGGAAAGUGCAAAUGCGGUACCGAGGCCACAUUACCAGCUGUCUUGGGAAGCUCUGGCUGAGAAGCUGGCUGUGUGACUCACUGGUCCCAGCCCCUGACCCGGGCAAGACCUGCCUUCAGCUUCUGGAUUUCUGGAGAAGCCUGCAGGACGCCAUGCAGGAAGUGACCUCAUGGCUGUUUUGGCCAUGUGGGUGGUGUUCAUCACUGGUAGCAGCUGAAGUUUAUCAGAAGGGUUAGCCUUUGCACUUUGACAACCAACUACUAUCUCGCCCGCAAUUUAGAAUAAUAAAAAGUGCAUGGCAAAAAAAGAAAAA